UUGGACCUGAUAUCAGACAAGAUGCACGUCCCGCUGAACUAGC
rnacentral:rRNA from 1 species